rnacentral:tRNA from 1 species
UCGACGACAUCAGCUGCUCCAUAAGUGCCCACACGAAUUGCUUGAUUCAUUGGAGAAGACGAUAGAAGUAGACCAAAAUUGGGUCUGUAGCUCAGUUGGUUAGAGCGCACCCCUGAUAAGGGUGAGGUCGGCAGUUCGAAUCUGCCCAGACCCACCAAUUUUGUUUGGAAGCACCUGUAGAAAUAUGGGGCCAUAGCUCAGCUGGGAGAGCGCCUGCCUUGCACGCAGGAGGUCAACGGUUCGAUCCCGUUUGGGCUCCACCAUUACUGCUUCUUUAUCGUAAAGCUUAGAAAUGAGCAUUCCAUCAGAUGAUGGUGAAUGUUGAUUUCUGAUCUUUUGAUUAGAUCGUUCUUUAAAAAUUUGGGUUUUUUAUAGAAAAGUUAGACUGGAUAACACUUUCACUGGUGUUUAUUCAGGCUAAAGGUUAAAAUUUGUGAUUGCUUCUUAAUUGAGCAGCGAAUUUUCGGCGGAAUGUCGUCUUCAUAGUAUAACCCAGAUUGCUUGGGGUUAUAU